rnacentral:rRNA from 1 species
CCCAUGCAGGCUGUGCUUGCCUCUGGCCGAUAAUCUCAUGGUCUAUAGCGUGGUGUCUCCAUGAGGCGCAAACUUUUACAAUGCGGGAAACCUGCCGUAUAAGGGUAUACUCGAGAUGCCUAGCCAUCAUUAUGAUUGGCUGACCAACUAUGACUUAAAUCUGCGAUGUGUUAGCUAAGGGCCGGGCUAAGACCGGUGCCUAGCCGCCGCGGGUAAUACCGGCGGCCCGAGUGGAUAGCCAUUAUUAUUGGGUUUAAAGGGUCCGUAGCCGGUUUGAUCAGCAUUCCGGGAAAUCUGAUAGCUCAACUAUUAGGCUUUUGGGGGAUACUUGUCAGACUUUGGGACCGGGAGAGGUAAGAGGUCUUCAGGGGUAGGAGUGAAAUCUUGUAAUCCAUGUGGGACCACCAGUGGCGAAGGCGUUUACCAGAACUGGGUCCACGUGAGGGACGAAAGCUGGGGGGCACUAACCGGAAUUAAAU